rnacentral:lncRNA from 1 species
GUAGGUCGGUUCCUUGGCAGCCGGCGGGAGAGGCUGUGUGGGGUUAGGCUCCCCAGACAAGGGACUCUCUGCUGCAAAAGGGAGUCCUCCAUUUUAUGAAAAGCUGGGAAGAGCCAUCCAGUCAUGGUAUCUGCGAGGGAGUUUCCCCACGGUCAGGCCUCUGGGGGAAAAAAAAAACAUGUGUGGGAACAUCCAUUCUGCCCGAUUGCUGCUGCUUCUACUUGCUUCAGCAGUGGGAGAGAAUAGCACAUUAUGCCAGUACCAAGAGAUCACCAACAAGAACAGCAGCAGCUGUGGAGUGGAGCUAACCUGAGCCUGGGAGACAAUGAGCGUAAGGGGGAACUUCACAGGAGGGACACUAUGGUCUACGCAGACACGGAAUCAAUCCCUCCAUUGAGUACUUUUGCUGGUCAUCUUUAAGGGAGCUUUUCACUGGAUCCCUGCUAGAUGUUUUGAGGUUCAUGUUUGAUUAUAUUUUGAUCUCCUUCUAUCGAGUAGUUUAUGUUGGCUGGUUAUAUACUUAACAAACUCACUCAUUCAAAACAAA